rnacentral:rRNA from 1 species
UACGAAGGGGGCUAGCGUUGUUCGGAAUUACUGGGCGUAAAGCGCAUGCAGGCGGAUCGUUAAGUCGGGGGUGAAAGCCCGAGGCUCAACCUCGGAACUGCCUUCGAUACUGGCGAUCUUGAGUCCGGGAGAGGUGAGUGGAACUCCGAGUGUAGAGGUGAAAUUCGUAGAUAUUCGGAAGAACACCAGUGGCGAAGGCGGCUCACUGGCCCGGUACUGACGCUGAGAUGCGAAAGCGUGGGGAGCAAACAGG